ensembl:lncRNA
GUGGUGAGUAAAUUAAAGGGGUGGUGAGUAAAUUAAGGGGUGGUGGGUAAAUCAAAGGGUGGUGUGUAAAUUAAAGGUGUGGUGGGUAAAGUAAAGGUGCGGUGGGUAACAGUACGUAGUAUCAUUUAUAUUUAUUAGAGCUGUGAGAGAUUUUGUUCUUUUUAUUUUCUAAGCUCAUUACAUUACACACCACAGAAUGGGCAGAUGGGAAAUAAAUAAAUAAAUAAAUAAAUAAAUAAAUAAAUAAAUACUUGCUGCAAUCAAUAAACCAGGGAAAGUUAACACUAAAUUACACAAUAUAAAGUCACAAUAAAGUUAAAUGCAUGCAUCACAUUUUUUUAAUCCAUUUUGUUGAAAGACUUUAUUUUUAUUGUUUAAACACACCCUUUAAUAAUUAUUCUUAUUUUAGACUUAUUAUAUAGCCUAUUAAUAACUUCUGUAAUAAUACCUGCUCCUUCUUCCUGUUAAUCUAAUCAAGUCUUUCUCUGGGUGCUGCAGCUCCGUCUCUAUUUCUGCUCACAAUUCCACACUUGUCGAGGAGCUAAAUCAUUUUUCCAUCAUUCCACACUCCGCAAUCCCACCUUGGGUAAAAAUAAGAUGGAUUUUCAGAUGGCUGCUUUAACCAGGUGGCACAUUUUCCACAUCCAUCAGUUGGUAAUUAAGCUCGCUAACGGUGUUUUAAUGACUAGCUAAAUCCAGAGCACUUAUAGAUUCCUAUAACCGCUGAACAUAUCGCAGAUCUGUUGGGGAAGCCAUCAUCAGCUGAUCUUUCCUCCUAGACAACGUGCAUACCUUUCACCAUGUGCUCUAUAAGCCAGUAAUUAUCCACGGCUCCAGACUAAAAAAAAUCACUUUCAGACUCAUUAACUGUUCACAAAAAUACACAAAAAACCCCAAACAGGCGAAAUCAAUUUCGAGGAACCUUCAUUUUCUCCAGUAUAAUUAUUUCAAAUAAGGAACUUUUUUUGUGUCUGAAAGUUAAACAUGUCACUGACCUCCACCAGCUAACUUCUAUUAUUGUUCUUGUUCUUCUCAGACUGCUUACGCUCGUGUUUUAUAAAUACCGAGUGCAUUAUUACUGUUUAUUAUUAGACUCUCUGCUAAUAUACUUUAUAUCCACGCUUCAAAUCAGGGUCAGCAAACGCUUUAACACCGCUACAGUCAACACCAAGUCAUUUAACUACGGGUAACUAGAAAAAAUACAAAUAAAAGUGUGAAAUGCUAAAAAUUCAAUAUUUACUGAAUAUCUACUUCACUUACAGUGAAAUAUUAAGCAUCAUCGAGAUCUCUAGGCUUAACUUGAUUAAAAUAACCUUAAAGACCCGAAUAACAUUUAAUAAAAGAUCGCUGGGUCCUAAACUACGCCCCG